UACGUAGGGGGCAAGCGUUGUCCGGAUUCAUUGGGCGUAAAGAGCGUGUAGGCGGCCAGGUAGGUCGGUUGUGAAAACUGGAGGCUCAACCUUCAGACGUCGACCGAAACCAUCUGGCUAGAGUCCGGGAGAGGAGAGUGGAAUUCCUGGUGUAGCGGUGAAAUGCGCAGAUAUCAGGAGGAACACCGGUGGCGAAGGCGGGUCUCUGGACCGAUACUGACGCUGAGGAGCGAAAGCGUGGGGAGCGAACAGG
rnacentral:rRNA from 1 species